rnacentral:rRNA from 1 species
ACUCCUACGGGAGGCAGCAGUAGGGAAUCUUCCACAAUGGGCGCAAGCCUGAUGGAGCAACACCGCGUGAGUGAAGAAGGGUUUCGGCUCGUAAAGCCCUGUUGUUAAAGAAGAACACGUAUGAGAGUAACUGUUCAUACGUUGACGGUAUUUAACCAGAAAGUCACGGCUAACUACGUGCCAGCAGCCGCGGUAAUACGUAGGUGGCAAGCGUUAUCCGGAUUUAUUGGGGCGUAAAGAGAGUGCAGGCGGUUUUCUAAGUCUGAUGUGAAAGCCUUCGGCUUAACCGGAGAAGUGCAUCGGAAACUGGAUAACUUGAGUGCAGAAGAGGGUAGUGGAACUCCAUGUGUAGCGGUGGAAUGCGUAGAUAUAUGGAAGAACACCAGUGGCGAAGGCGGCUACCUGGUCUGCAACUGACGCUGAGACUCGAAAGCAUGGGUAGCGAACAGGAUUAGAUACCCUGGUAGGAUAGCG